AGCGUCCCAAGCAGGGACGAUAGCCGGAACGCGCCCGGAAUCGGGUCCGCCAGGUGGGGAGCGGGUCCCCGGCCUCUGGCGGGGUUUCUCUUCCAAGAUCAGCCGGAGGGUUCAGGGCUUUCAGUUUCAUAUUUCAGGAGGGAUUUUGUCAAUGAGGAUUAAUACAAAGCUCGGCUUUGAGAGAGGUUUGAGUUUCCUGCCUGAUGAUCAGAGCCAGAAGCACAGGUCUCCAGGAAAUGCCACCACUGGAUAGAGAGCCACACGCUGCUUCCUAUCAUACGUCUACCUGGACCUAACUCAGGAAGAAACAUACACUUCCUACAUUUUAUCCCAUAAGCAAAGCAACUUCUGUAGAACUGCCCAUGGAGAUUUUGUCUUAACUUCAAAAAGUGCUUCUCCUAAUUUAUUUUCUGUUGCACGGUAUCAAGAAGCACCUGUGGAAAAAAAGGAUUCAAAAGAAGAAAACCAUAACCAUCUUACAAGUUUUUGCAUUGCUGAAGACUGACGACUUCACCCAGACCCACCAACUGGUCCUGGGACCCCCACCCAGGAACCCAUUCAGUGCAGGAGGACAGCUUCAGCUCCCUGUGUCUUCACGUGUGACCCAAUUGAUCAGCACUUCCCUCUUCCUGGCCCCCUACUGACCAAACUAUCCUUUAAAAACCCUAGUCACUGAGUUUCCAGGGAGACUAAUUUGACUAAUAAUAAAACUGGUCUCCCAUUCAGCCAGCUCUGCAUGAAUUAAACUUUCUCUAUUGCAUUCCCCUGUCUUAACAAAUCAGCUGUACCUGGGCACUGGGCAAAAUGAACCCAUUGGAUGGCUACAUAUGUCCAGGUUAAUCCCGUCAUCACUGGGGGACUUGUGUAGGGGAUUUUGGCUCUGGAAAGGAUGGAUUAGAGAUCUGUGUUCUCCAGACUGAAGUGUGCAGAUUAUUGCCAAGAAAAACCUCUGAGAAGCACAAGCUCAGGCCUUGGGGACUUCACGCAUGUUGGUUGCCUGCUGAAUAGGAGGCUCCUGUGUCCACCCUCACAGCUUGGUCCUCACUUAUAUGAGCCCAACUGGGAAUGCUCUCUGUGAUUCAGGUCCACUUACUUCUAGAAUGCUCAGGUAGGAAGUAAUCAUUAGAAGCAGAUGAAGUAUGUUACCCCAGGAGCAUAGUAGAUUAGCCAUUGACUUGUUUUCCCCCUGUUGGAUCUUAAUCUUCCAUGCAAAUUAAUCACCAAGGGCUCAAAAACAGCCCUUGGAUUAACAUGCUCUGUUCACAGUCCUGGCAUGUUGGGACCCAAGCCCAGUCCCUCAUGGGGAGGGACUUCACUUUCUUUUGCUCCUCCCCAGUAGCCCUCCUAUUGGUUUGGAUACAGCUACCCUGGGUUUGGCUCCUGCCUUUUCCUUCACAGUUGCUACCCAGGAACAGGGAAAAAAGGGGUCUGCUAUUGAUGAUGUUGGUAACCCCCACUGGGUGAACCUCACUGGGUGAACAGGUCAGCCACACACGCUACAAAAAAGAAGGGCAUCUGCCUCAACAGUAGAGUGAAGAAAGGCAGAAGUCUGCUCCUUAUGAGCUAGCCUCCAGGGCAUACAAAGACAUUCUUACACAUUCAUUCCUUUUUGUAUUCACUUUUUGAACAUUUAUUGGGCAUCUGUAGUAUGCUGGGACAUUCAUUGGUUCUGAAGACAUGGAGAUAAACAUUGGGGUACUCUGAUCCAUAAAACAAAUACUUCUAAACCUGCAAAAAACUUAGCCACACACUAAUAGUGGGGAACUUCAACAUCCUACUGACAGCUUUAAAUGGAUGAUUGUGGUGAAAACUAACAAAGAAAUUCUGGACUUAAACUUGACACUUGACGAAUUUGACCUAAUAGUCUUAUUGUUUUAUCCAAAUUACCACUGUGUCCCUUUUAAGUAGGGCAUUUAGACCAAUUACAUUGAAGGUUAAUAUUGAUAUGUGGGAUGUUUAUCCUGUCAUUGUUUUGUAGACUCAAUUGUGCAGUUGCUUGAUAGAGUCAUUGGACGAUGUACUUAAGUGUGUUUUUAUGUUAGUAGUACUCUAUCUAACAAACACAGAAUAUACAUUCUUCUCAUCUGCAUAUAGAACAUAUUAUAAGAUUGACCACAUGCUUGUCCAUAAAGCAACUCUUAAUAAAUUUAAAAAAUAGAAAUUAGACUAUACUCUCAGACCACAGGGCAAUAAAUUCAACACCAAGAAUAUCUCUCAAAACCACACAAUUAUAUGAAAAUUAAACAACUUGCUCCUGAAUGACUUUUGGGUAAACAAUAAAAUUAGAGCAGAAAUAAAAAAUUCUUUCAAAUUAAUGAAAACAGGACAGAACAUGCCAAAAUAUCUGGGAUACAGCAAAAGCAGUAUCAAGAGGAAAGUUUAUAGUGCUAAAUGCCUACACCAAGGGGAUAGAAAAAAAUCACAAAUUAAUAGACUAACAUUGCACCAAAGGAACUAGAUAGACAAGAACAAAUUAACCCCAAAGCUAGUAGAAGAAAAUAAAUAAAAUCAGAGCACAACUGAAUGAAAUUGAGAUGCAAACAUUUGUACAAAAGAUCAACAAAACCCAAAGUUUGUUCACAGAAAAUACAAACAGAAUUGAUAGUCUGCUAGCUAUAUUAACAAAGUAACAAAAGGGAAAACCAAAAGAAGCACAAUCAGAAAUGACAAAGAUGACAUUACUACUGAUUCCACAGAAAUAUAAAGAUCUUCAGACUAUUAUUAACACCUUUAUGCACACAAACUAGGAAUUCUAGAGGAAACUGAUAAAUUCCUGGAAACACAAACCUCCCAAGAAUGAAUCAGGAAGAAACUGAAACCUGAACUGACCAAUCUUGAGUUGCAAAAUUGAAGCAGGAAUAAAAACCAACUAAGCAAAAAAAGUCCAGGAUUAGAUAGAUUUACAGCUGAAUUCUACCAGAUGUACACAGAACAGCUGAUACCAAUUCUACUGAUACUAUUCCAAAAAAUAGAGAAACUCCUCCUUAACUCAUCUAUGAAGUCAGCAUCAUCCUGAUAUCAAAACCUAGCAAAGACACAACAAAAAAAGAAAACUACAGGCCAAUAUCCCUGAUGAACUUAUACACAAAGAUUCUCAACAAAAUAUUAAUACUAGUGAACUUAAUCUAGCAGCACAUCCAAAAGUUAAUUCACCAUAAAAAUGUAGGUUUGAUUCCUGGAAUCAAGUUUGUUUCAACAUAUGCAAAUCAAUAAAUGUGAUUUACCACAUAAACAUUAAAAACAACACCUAUAGGAUCAUCUCAAUGGAUGUAGAAAAAGCUUUUGAUAAAAUUCAACUUCCCUUCAUGUUAAAAACCCUCAACAAAGUAGGCAUCAAAGAAACAUACCUCAAAAUAAUAAGGGCCAUCUGUGACAAACCCACAGCCAACAUUAUAUGGAAUGGGCAAAAGCUGGAAGCAGUCCCCUUGAGAACUACAACAAAAUAGGAUUCCUAUUCUCACCAUUCCUAUUCAGUGUCAUACUAGAAGUCCUAGCCAGGGCAAUCAGGCAAGAGAAAGAAAUAUAAGGCAUCCAAGUAGAAAAAGAAGAAGUCAAACUAUUUCUCUUUAUUGAUGAUAUAAUUCUAUACCUAAAACCCUAAAGACCUCACCAAAAGGCUUCUAGAAGUGAUACACAACUUCAUUAAAUUUCACAAUAGAAAAUCAAUGAAAAUCAGUAGCAUUUCUAUACAUCAGUAAUGUAUGACCUGAGAGCCCAAUCAGGAACACAAUCUCCUUUACAAUAGCCACAAAAGAAGUAAUGUCUAGGAAUACAUCUAACCAAGGAGGUGAAAGAUCUCUAGAAGGAGAACUACAAAACACUGCUGAAAGAAAUCAUAGAUGACAAACAAAUAAAAAAUUCCAUGCCCAUGGAUUGGAAGAAUUAAAAUUGUUAAAAUGGCCAUACUGCCAAAGCAACUUACAAAUUCUGUUCUAUCAAACUACCAAUGCUAUUUUUCACAGAAUUAGAAAAGACUUUUCUAAAAUUCAUAUGGAACCAAAAAAGAGCCCAAAGAUCCAAAACAAACGUAAGUAAAAGGAGCCAAACUAGAGGCAUCACAUUACCCAACUUCAAACUAUACUGUAAGGCUACAGUAACCAAAAUAACAUGCUACUGUUACAAAAACAGACACAUAGACCAAUGGAACAGAACAGAGAACCCAGGAAUAAAGCCCCACACUUUCGAUCAUCUAAUCUUCAACAAAGUGGACAAAAACAAGCAAUAGGGGAAGGACAUCCUAUUCAAUAAAUGGUGCUGGGAUAGCUGGCUAGCCAUACACAGAAGAAAGAAACUGGACCCUACCUUUUACCAUUUGUACAACAAUUAACUGAAGAUGAAUUAAAGGUUUAAAUGUGAGACCUCAAACUAACAGAAUGCUAGAAGAAAACUUAGGAAACACUAUUCUGGACAUCAGCCUUGGGAAAGCUAAGGUUAAGUCCUCAAAAGGAAUUGCAAUAAAAAUAAAAAUUGAUAAGUAGAUCUAAUUAAACUAAAGAGCUUCUGCAUAGCAAUAGAAACUUUCAGCAGAGUAAAUGUACAGAAUGGGAAAAAUAUUCACAAACUAUGCAUCCAACAAAGGUCACAUAUCCAGAAUCUGUAAAGAAUUUAAGUAACUGAACAAGCAAAAAACAAAUAACCUCAUUCAAAAAUAGUCAGAAUACAUGAACAGAUACUUCUGAAAAUAAUACAUACAAGUGGCAUAGAAACAUAUGAAAAAAUGCUCAUCGUCACUGAUCAUCAGAGAAAUGUAAAUUAGAAGCACAAUGAGAUACAAUCUCACACCAGUCAGAAUCACUAUUACAAAAAAGUAAAAACAUAACAGAUGUUGGUGAGGUUGUGGAGAAAAAGGAACAACUUAUACGCUGUUGGUGGGAAUGUAAAUUAGUUUAACUACUCAACUACUGUGGAUAUCAGUUUGCAGAUUUCUCAAAGAACUGAGAACUACCAGUCAAUCUGGCAACCCCAUUACUAAGUAUAUAUCCAAAAGAAAACCAAUUAUUCUACCAAAAAGUCAUACAUGCACUCACAUGUUCAUCACAAUACUACUCACAAUAGCAAUGACAUGGAAUCAACCUAGGUGCCCAUCAACAGCGAAUUGGAUAAAGAAAAUGUGGUACGUAUACUUCAUGGAAUACUACACAGCCAUAAAAAGAACAAAAUUAUGUUCUUUGCAGCAACAUGGAUGCAGCUGGAGGCCAUUAUCCUAAGCAAAUUAACACAGGAACAGAAAACCAAAUACCGCAUAUUCUCACUUGUACGUGGGAGCUAAACAUCAGGUAUUCAUGGUCACAAAGAUGGAAACAAAAGACAUUGUGGGCUACUAGUGGGGAAAGGGAGGGUGGUGGUGAGGGUUGAAAUUCUAACUGUUGGGUAGUAUGGUUGGUAUUUGGGUGGUGGGUGUAUUCAUACCACAAACCUUAGCAUCAUGUCAUUUACCCAAGUAAAAACUUGCACAUGUACCCUCUGAAUCUAAAAUAAAAGUUGAAAAAUAAAGAGCAAAUAAAACUGGGCCAGGGCAGCAAUUCAAAGCAUGAUAGAUAGAUAGAUAGAUAGAUAAAUAGAUUAAAAUAAAUCUAAACUACAAACUUGUCUUUUCACUAUCUUGAUAAUGUUCUUUUAUGGAUUCUAGUUUUUAAUUUUGAUGAAGUCCAAUUUAUGUAUUUUUCCUCUUGUUUCUCAUGCUUUCAGUGCUAUAUCUAGGACUCCAUUGUCAAAUCAAAGGUCAUGGAGAUUUAUUUCUAUGUUUUCUUUUAAGAGUUUUAACAUUUAUGUUAAGGUUUUUAAUUCAUUUUGAGUUAAUUGUUGUAUAUACUGCCAUGUAAGAACAUCACCUCACUCCUUUGCAUGUGGCUAUCAUUAUCCCAGCACCAUUUGUUAAAAAGAGCGUUUUUUCUCCAUUGAAUUUUCCUGGCAAUGCUGUGAAAAGUCAAUUACCCAUAGAUGCUUAAAUUAAUUUCUGGACUCUCCAUUCUCUUCCGUUAGUCUAUGUGUAAAGUUACAGAUCUACCCUUGACCCGGAAUGCCUAUCAGAAGCUGAUCAAGUGCACACGUUCUGUUCUUAUGAUAAUUACAACUGGGACUGGACUCUAUAAUAUUUGACUGUAUAGUGUCUUCCAAAAUUCUUUCUUAUAAUGUUUCACCUUGUUAAUAAACUCCUGAGCCUAAGAAUGGAAAGAAACAUGUUUUAUACUCACAGUUUCUUAAUUUCGAAAACUAUCCUGCAUGGACUGAUCACUCAAUUUAGGAAGCUGGCGUAAGGAGCAUUUAUUAGCAUUCUGAACAGGGACCUCUGAUCUAAGACUCUAAGUACUACAGUCAUUUAGUAGUGAAAUUCCAUUCUGUGAUUGGUUCUUAGAGAACUAGUUUUACAAAAGCCCAAAGAUACAAGAAAGUUCACAGAAAACUGUUUGUAAUACUUAGAAAUUGGAACCAAUAAAAAAAGGUAAUCAGUUGGGGAUAGAUCAUUAUAAAGCCUCCAUAUGAAUGAAUUAUUCAUGAUUAUUUAAAAUUGAAAUAUGUCUGCAGUUACAGAAUAAGUUGCAUAGUAUGAUCCGAUAUGUAUAUAAACAACAUCAUAUAUGUAUGUGUGUGUGUAUAUAUAUAUGUAUAUGGGUGUAUGUGUAUAUAUUUCACCUUGUAAUAUUUUACCUUGUUAAUAAAACCCUGGACCAAAAAAUGUAAGUUAAAGGAUUGUGUGUGUGUGUGUGUGUGUGUGUGUGUGUGUGUGUGUGCGGCGCACGCAUGCGUGUGUGCUCAUAACCAAAUUUCUGCAGGAAUAAAGGGAACGUUUCUAUAUGAUGACUUUGCCUUUUUUAAAAAAAAAACAAAAAGCACAUAUAUUUAAAUUGUUUAAGGGGAGGUCCAUGCUCUGACCUUUAAACUAAAUUGCCUUAAAACCUCCUGAAGAAUUUUCUGUGUUGUCUGAGAACAGAGCUACAAAGAGCCAUAACACUUUCCAAAGUUAGAGACAAAAUAUUCCUUUUAAGCUUGAGGGGCAAGCCCCUGGGCUCCUAAGCAGGCUGCCUGUGACCCUGGAUAUGAAUUUCAGGCCAGCUCCUUCUGCCUUUUGGGGUCUGGUCAGCCUACCUGGAUUUUAUGUUCUUCAGAAAAUCUUUGACCUUUUCCAGGGAAAACUUCACUAUAUCACUAUUUGCAGGUAAAACUUUGCUUAUAUUUUAGAACCUCUAGAAAGAAUGCAACUCUGUAUAUACUUUGAUGUUAUUUUAUUAAAGUCAAUUUCAGAAUUCUGACCUCCAGAACUCCAAGAGAAUCCACAUUUCCUCAUGGAUUUGCUACUCAGUUUGUCCAAGAACUUAUUGAGGUGCACCUCCUGGACCUGGCAGUCACUCCCAAAACAAGAGGAAGCAGCCAUGAACCACCAGAGCUCAGAGAACUUGAGUGACAUACACAGAUUCUCCUACUGGAACUGAGGUCCAGAUGCCCAGGCAGGCCCAGAACUCAUUUUUCUACAGAUGAGGGCAUCAAAUCUGCAGUGCGCUCACGCUGUCUGCUCCAGACCUUCAGGCUCUUCUGUCUGGAAUGUUCCUCCCUGCUCACUUUGCACACCCAGGACCCAGCUCAGAUGGGACUCCUCAGGGACACCUACCCACCUGGCCAGUCACACCUUCCUGUGGCACCUGCUCCUUGCUGUCUCCUCACCAAUCAUACUCAAAGCAGAUGCUAUGGAUUGUGUUUAUUUACCAGCUACAGGAGCAUUAACAUUUUAUAAUUAAUAUUUAAUCAAGUUUAGUAAGCUGUAUUUUUGAGGAUAUAUGCAGAUAGUUUAAAAUUUCAAAUAAAGUGUUACAAAGUUGCUUACUGGCAUAAGCUCCAGCAAUUUAAUAUGUUCAUCCUUUUAUUUCUAAUAUUGUCUAUUUUCCUGAUAAAUCUUGACAGAUGAUUAACCAUUUUUAUUAGUGUACUUAAAGAAAUGUUGAUCUUUAUUGAACUUUGCUGGAUUUCUGUUACAAUUUUUUUAUCCAUGAUUUUUUACUAGAAAUUCAUAUCUACUAAUGUGUUUGGAUUUAUUCUGAAGACUUUUUCUAAUAUUUCUCAGAUUAGAAACUCAAUUCACUAAUUUACAGUCUUUCUUACCUUCUAAUAUAUCAUUUAUAAGUCUAAUAUUUCCUUAAAUACUGCUUGUGGUAGGCAGAAUAACAGCAUCCAAAAUAUGUCCAUAUAGUAAUAGAUACUGAUGCAAUGUAAUCACAAUGGGCUAAAAGUGGAAGACAGAAGCAGAGAUUCAGAGAGAUUUGAAGAUGCAAUAUUGCUGGCUUUGAAGAUGAAGGAGAGGACACAAGCCAAGGAAUGCCGGUGGCCUCUAGAAACUGGAGCAGUCAAGGAAAAGAAUGAUCUUUUAGAACAUCUACAAAGAAUGCCACUCUGUAGAUACCUUGAUUUUAU
rnacentral:lncRNA from 1 species